rnacentral:rRNA from 1 species
CAGCAGUCGAGAAUCUUCGGCAAUGGGCGCAAGCCUGACCGAGCGACGCCGCGUGGAGGACGAAGGCCUUCGGGUUGUAAACUCCUGUCGAGGGGGAGGAAGGUCGGGCAACCGGCUUGACCGAUCCCUGGAGGAAGCACGGGCUAAGUUCGUGCCAGCAGCCGCGGUAAGACGAACCGUGCGAACGUUAUUCGGAAUCACUGGGCUUAAAGCGCGUGUAGGCGGAUGGGGACGUCGGUUGUUGAAAGCCCCCGGCUCAACCGGGGAAUGGGCACCGAAACGCCCCGUCUCGAGGGACGUAGGGGGACCUGGAACUUCCGGUGGAGCGGUGAAAUGCGUUGAGAUCGGAAGGAACGCCCGUGGCGAAAGCGAGGUCCUGGACGUCUACUGACGCUGAGACGCGAAAGCUAGGGUAGCGAACGGGAUUAGA